rnacentral:rRNA from 1 species
UUCCAGAGCUAAUACAUGCAACCUGUAUACCCUGAUGGUGCCUUCGUGCGCCUGACGGGUGCUUUUAUUAGACCAAACAUCGCUGGCGGCGCCCGCCGCUAGGCUCGUGAUAUGGUGACUCUGGAUAACCUUUUGACAAGCGCACGUACUUCAUUCAUGGAGACGGCGCUGCCACUUUCGAGUGUCUGCCUUAUCAGCUAUCAACCGUUCGUUAUGUGCGACCGAUGGCUUUGACGGGUAACGGGGAAUCAGGGUUCGAUUCCGGAGAGGCAGCCUGAGAAACGGCUACCACGUCCAAGGACGGCAGCAGGCACGCAAAUUACCCAAUCCCAGCACCUGGGGGAGGUAGUGACGAAAUCUAACGAUGCGGGCGCCCUUUCUGGGCCUCGCAAUCGGAAUGAGCAUUUUCUAAACAACCUGUUGAGAACCUACUGAAGGGCAAGUCUGGUGCCAGCAGCCGCGGUAAUUCCAGCUUCAGCAGCAUAUAUUAAAGUUGCUGCGGUUAAAAGGCUCGCAGUUGAAUGUCAGUGUUGGGCGACGGUAAGGUGGACGCUGGAGCAUGGGAAUUAAGCGCGCUCGCGCGCAGGUCGGUUUGUGUGGGGCUUGGGCGUGUGUGUGUGUGCGUGUGCGUUCAGCUUGCGGCGUAGCGCUUUUGCGCGAAACCCUCGCUGUCGCGCGCGUCAUCGCGCGUGCUCUCUCUCUCGCGCUCUCUCGUGUCUGUCGCGGGCGUCUCUCAGAAGCUCCCGUCUGUUACAAGCCUCCUCGCUCCAGUACAUGGGUGGUAACUCCUCUCCUCGGAUUGCGUGCGCCUCUCCCAGCCUUGCGAAAGCCGUCUCUCUUCCACUCGUGUGCGAGCUCUCGCCUUCGUGCGUUUGCCCUGCGCGCUUGCUCGGGGGUCUCGGUCUAGCCUGGCGCUAACGGAGGAGCGUCUUCGUGCCGAGGAGUGGGUCGCGGUCUUGCGCGCGGGCCAGAGUGCUUGUCUGAGGCGCGUGCGUGCGUGCGCAGGUGGUGUAUACUACUCUGCCUCCUCGCCCUCGCGUUCUCUCUCGCACGUCUCUCGCGUCGCGCGCGGCCCUGUGUGUGUGUUACUGCAUUGUCACCUUGAGUAAAUCGGAGUGCUCAAAGCAGUCGUAAAGGGUUUCGGCCCUGUGAUAAGUCUUGACGGACUGUCUUGAUUUUGCAUGGUAUGUCGGAAAACGACGUCGAGUGCUGGCUCAGAGUCUAUAGAAGUGGUUUCAAGCCAAAGCCUCGACGUAAUGAUUAAAAGGAACGGUCGAGGGCAUUGGUAUUGCGAGGCGAGAGGUGAAAUUCUAUGACCCCCGCAAGACCGCCUGAAGCGAAAGCGUCUGCCAAGGACGUUUUCAUUAAUCAUGAACGAAAGUUAGAGGAUCGAAGGCGAUCAGAUACCGCCCUAGUUCUGACCCUAAACGAUGCCAACCAUCAAUCCGCGUGAGCACCCUUUUUGACGGGCUCGGCGGGCAGCUCUCUUUUCACGGGAAACCAGAGUCUCUGGGUUCCGGGGGGAGUCUGGUUGCAAAGCUGAAACUUAAAGGAAUUGACGGAAAGGCACCACCAGGAGUGGAGCCUGCGGCUUAAUUUGACUCAACACGGGCCAUCUCACCAGGCCAGAACUCUAGCACGAUUGACAGAUUGAGAGCUCUUUCUCGAUUGAGUGGAUGGUGGUGCAUGGCCGUUCUUAGUUGGUGGAGUGAUCUGUCUGGUUAAUUCCGAUAACGAACGAGACUCUCCCCUGCUAACUAGUCGGUUGGAUCUUGUAUUUCGAUGCGAGUCGUGCGCCGGGUUUUCCUUCGCCUCGCGGCAGCGGUGCGAGUGUUUCCUGUCUCGCGCUGGUGGUGUGUGUGUGCGCGCGCGCGUGUGUGUGUGCGAGUUCGGGCGCUUUUCGUCUCACGGCGAGGGCGUGUUGGGCUCUGCGCAUAUGCGUGUGUGUGUGUGUGCGCGCUCUGGCGUGGGCGGGCUCUCUGCCGUUCGUUGCUUGGUGUGUCUGGUUUUCCCGGGUCGUACACUCCAAGUCCGCCGCUUAUGCUAUAAAACUCUUCUUAGAGGGAUCAACGGCUCUGAAGCCGUACGAGACUGAGAGCAAUAACAGGUCUGUGAUGCCCUUAGAUGUUCUGGGCCGCACGCGCGCUACAAUGCCGGGCACAGCAGGUGUUUUCCCUACUCCGAAAGGAGCGGGCAACCCUCUGAAAGCCCCUUCUCAUCAAAUGUAUCGGCCGGCGAGCAAUCGUCGGUCGUGUGUAUUGGCGUGCUUGGGCCUGGGGCUUGCAAUUCUUUCCC